CGCGCAGCUUACACAUGCAAGUCGAGCGGUAACAGGUCUAGCUUGCUAGACGCUGACGAGCGGCGGACGGGUGAGUAAUGCAUAGGAAUCUGCCCGAUAGUGGGGGAUAACCUGGGGAAACCCAGGCUAAUACCGCAUACGUCCUACGGGAGAAAGGGGGCUUCGGCUCGCGCUAUCGGAUGAGCCUAUGUCGGAUUAGCUAGUUGGUGGGGUAAUGGCCCACCAAGGCGACGAUCCGUAGCUGGUCUGAGAGGAUGAUCAGCCACAUCGGGACUGAGACACGGCCCGAACUCCUACGGGAGGCAGCAGUGGGGAAUAUUGGACAAUGGGGGCAACCCUGAUCCAGCCAUGCCGCGUGUGUGAAGAAGGCCUUCGGGUUGAAAGGCACUUUCAGCGAGGAAGAACGCCAGGGAAUUAAUACCUCCCUGGAAAGACAUCACUCGCAGAAGAAGCACCGGCUAACUCCGUGCCAGCAGCCGCGGUAAUACGGAGGGUGCAAGCGUUAAUCGGAAUUACUGGGCGUAAAGCGCGCGUAGGUGGCUUGAUAAGCCGGUUGUGAAAGCCCCGGGCUCAACCUGGGAACGGCAUCCGGAACUGUCA
rnacentral:rRNA from 1 species